rnacentral:misc_RNA from 1 species
GAUGAAGAACGCAGCGAAAUGCGAUAAGUAAUGUGAAUUGCAGAGUUCAGUGAAUCAUCGAAUCUUUGAACGCACAUUGCGCCCCUUGGUAUUCCGAGGGGCAUGCCUGUUCGAGCGUCAUUAUAACCCCUCAAGCUCAGCUUGGUGUUGGGGCCUGCCGCACGGGCAGCCCUUAAAAUCAGUGGCGGUGCCAUCUGGCUCUAAGCGUAGUAAUUCUUCUCGCUAUAGAGUCCCGGUGGAUGCUUGCCAUUAACCCCCAAUUUUCUAUGGUUGACCUCGGAUCAGGUAGGGAUACCCGCUGAACUUAAGCAUAUCAAUAAGCGGAGGA